rnacentral:rRNA from 1 species
GACGAACGCUGGCGGUAUGCCUAACACAUGCAAGUCGAACGAGUGGCGGACGGGUGAGGAAUACAUCGGCAUCUACUCUGUCGAGGGGUAUCACGGAGAGAAAAUUUCGCUACUACCGCAUACGAUUGAAUGAGCCGAUGUCGGAUUAGCUAGUUGGCGGGGUAAAGGCACACCAAGGCGACGCUACGUAGCUGGUCUGAGAGGAUGAUCAGCCACACUGGAACUGAGACACGGUCCAGACUCCUACGGGAGGCAGCAGUGGGGAAUAUUGGACAAUGGGCGCAAGCCUGAUCCAGCCAUGCCGCGUGGGUGAAGAAGGCCUUCGGGUUGUAAAGGACUUUCAGCGGGGAGGCGUUACCCGCAGAAGAAGCACCGGCUAACUCCGUGCCAGCAGCCGCGGUAAUUC